rnacentral:rRNA from 1 species
AGAGUUUGAUCAUGGCUCAGGAUGAACGCUGGCGGCGUGCUUAACACAUGCAAGUCGAACGAACCUUCGGGUCAGUGGCGGACGGGUGAGUAACGCGUGAGAAUCUGCCCUCAGGAGGGGGAUAACGGCUGGAAACGGCCGCUAAUACCCCAUAUGCCGCGAGGUGAAAUGAAUUUCGCCUGAGGAUGAGCUCGCGUCUGAUUAGCUAGUUGGUGGGGUAAGAGCCUACCAAGGCAUCGAUCAGUAGCUGGUCUGAGAGGAUGAUCAGCCACACUGGGACUGAGACACGGCCCAGACUCCUACGGGAGGCAGCAGUGGGGAAUUUUCCGCAAUGGGCGAAAGCCUGACGGAGCAACGCCGCGUGAGGGAUGAAGGCCUCUGGGCUGUAAACCUCUUUUAUCAAGGAAGAAGAUCUGACGGUACUUGAUGAAUAAGCCACGGCUAAUUCCGUACCAGCAGCCGCAAUAAUACGGGAGUGGCAAGCAUUAUCCGGAAUUAUUGGGCGUAAAGCGUCCGCAGGCGGUCUUGUAAGUCUGUUGUUAAAGCGUGGAGCUUAACUCCAUUUCAGCAAUGGAAACUGUAAGACUAGAGUGUGGUAGGGGCAGAGGGAAUUCCCGGUGUAGCGGUGAAAUGCGUAGAUAUCGGGAAGAACACCAGUGGCGAAGGCGCUCUGCUGGGCCAUAACUGACGCUCAUGGACGAAAGCCAGGGGAGCGAAAGGGAUUAGAUACCCCUGUAGUCCUGGCCGUAAACGAUGAACACUAGGUGUCGGGGGAAUCGACCCCCUCGGUGUCGUAGCCAACGCGUUAAGUGUUCCGCCUGGGGAGUACGCACGCAAGUGUGAAACUCAAAGGAAUUGACGGGGGCCCGCACAAGCGGUGGAGUAUGUGGUUUAAUUCGAUGCAACGCGAAGAACCUUACCAGGGUUUGACAUCCUGCGAAUCUUUUGGAAACGAGAGAGUGCCUUCGGGAACGCAGUGACAGGUGGUGCAUGGCUGUCGUCAGCUCGUGUCGUGAGACGUUGGGUUAAGUCCCGCAACGAGCGCAACCCACGUCGUUAGUUGCCAGCAUUUAGUUGGGCACUCUAGCGAGACCGCCGGUGAUAAACCGGAGGAAGGUGUGGAUGACGUCAAGUCAUCAUGCCCCUUACAUCCUGGGCUACACACGUACUACAAUGCUACGGACAAAGGGCAGCAAACUCGCGAGAGCUAGCAAAUCCCAUAAACCGUGGCUCAGUUCAGAUCGUAGGCUGCAACUCGCCUACGUGAAGGAGGAAUCGCUAGUAAUCGCAGGUCAGCAUACUGCGGUGAAUACGUUCCCGGGCCUUGUACAUACCGCCCGUCACACCAUGGAAGUUGGCCACGCCCGAAGCCGUUACUCCAACCCUUGUGGAGGAGGAUGUCGAAGGUGGGGCUGAUGACUGGGGUGAAGUCGUAACAAGGUAACC